rnacentral:rRNA from 1 species
CUCUGCCUACGGGGGGCAGCAGGGAGGAAGAUUGGUAAAUGGUUGAGAGGCUGAACCAGCCAAGUCGCGUGAGGGAAGACGGCCCUACGGGUUGUAAACCUCUUUUGUCGGGGAGCAAAGCGAGUCACGUGUGACUCAUUGAGAGUACCCGAAGAAAAAGCAUCGGCUAACUCCGUGCCAGCAGCCGCGGUAAUACGGAGGAUGCGAGCGUUAUCCGGAUUUAUUGGGUUUAAAG